rnacentral:rRNA from 1 species
GACGAACGCUGGCGGCGUGCUUAACACAUGCAAGUCGAACGGAAAGGCCCUGCUUUUGUGGGGUGCUCGAGUGGCGAAGGGGUGAGUAACACGUGAUUAACCUGCCCUUGACUUUGGGUUAACUUCAGGAAACUGGGGCUAUUACCGGAUAGGAGCUCCUGCUGCAUGGUGGGGUUUGGAAAGUUUCGGCGGUUGGGGAUGGACUCGCGGCUUAUCAGCUUGUUGGUGGGGUAGUGGCUUACCAAGGCUUUGACGGGUAGCCGGCCUGAGAGGGUGACCGGCCACAUUGGGACUGAGAUACGGCCCAGACUCCUACGGGAGGCAGCAGUGGGGAAUAUUGCACAAUGGGCGGAAGCCUGAUGCAGCAACGCCGCGUGCGGGAUGACGGCCUUCGGGUUGUAAACCGCUUUCGCCUGUGACGAAGCGUGAGUGACGGUAAUGGGUAAAGAAGCACCGGCUAACUACGUG